GCUCUCUAACCGAUCUAUUCGUUUACCGGACCGGCAACUUUCUCUAUUUAAUCAGGGGCGUAGCUAGAAAGAAACGAUGUGGAAGCAACUACCGCCGAGCGGAGCGAGGCGAAAACAUUUUGGGACCCUAUUAUGCAGAAUUUUUUUUUUCGGUUUUCGGUCAUAGGACGGUUAAAAGAGGAGCUAUAUGUAGAUAAAAAUUUAUGAAUGUAAAACUAUUAAUAAAUCUUCUGAAUAUAGUAAUACAUAAACAACACAUAUUUGUGAUACAGAAUUUACUCAAAAUUGUCCAAAAUCUGCUCUUCGGGUCUGGGCAGAAACAAACUUCUCUAUUACUUUGUCAACAUUCACACUGAAAUCCCGAUGAAUAUGCAGUAAUGCUAUGUAACUUUCGUUGUUGAUUGUUGAU
rnacentral:lncRNA from 1 species